UACGUAGGGGGCAAGCGUUAUCCGGAUUUACUGGGUGUAAAGGGAGCGUAGACGGCGGUGCAAGCCAGAUGUGAAAGCCCGGGGCCCAACCCCGGGACUGCUUUGGAAACUGUGUAACUGGAGUACAGGAGGGGCAGGCGGAAUUCCUGGUGUAGCGGUGAAAUGCUUAGAUAUCACGAAGAACCCCGAUUGCGAAGGCAGCCUGCCGCAGCGUUACUGACGCUGAAGCUCGAAAGCGCGGGUAUCGAACAGG
rnacentral:rRNA from 1 species